rnacentral:rRNA from 1 species
GGUUUGAUUAUGGCUCAGAUUGAACGCUGGCGGGAUGCUUUACAUGCAAGUCGAACGGCAGCACGGACUUCAGUCUGGUGGCGAGUGGCGAACAGGUGAGUAAUGUAUCCGGAACGUGCCUAUUGUGAGGAUAACUACGCGAAAGCGUAGCUGCUUCUCUGCCACGCCCUUCGGGGGAAAGCGGGGGACCUUCCGGGCCUCCGCACUAUUGAAACGGCCGAUAUCGGAUUAGCUAGUUGGUGGGAGUAACGGCUCACCAAGGCGGCGACGAUCCGUAGCUGGUUUGAGAGGACGACCAGCCACACUGGGACUGAGACACGGCCCAGACUCCUACGGGAGGCAACGGUGGGGAAUUUUGGACAAUGAAACCUGAUCCAAGCCAUCGCGUGCGUGAGGCGCUGGUUCUCAGCCUUUUGGCGGAAAGAAACGGCACGGGAUAAUACGUACAGCAGCUGAUACCUGCAGAAUGACUGGCUAACUACGUGCCAGCAGCCGCGGUAAUGCCGUAGGUGCAAACGUUAAAUCAGGAAUUGCGAACAAAGCGGUGCGCAGGCGGUUCGGAAGAAGAUGUGAAAAUCCCAGAGCUUAACUCUGGAACUGCAUUUUUAACUACCGAGCUAAGUGUUAUCAGAGGAGGUGGAAUUCCAUGAUAGCAACAGUGAAAUGCGUAGAUAUGCGGAGGAACACCGAUGGCGAAGGCAGCCUCCUGGGAUAACACUGACGCUCAUGCACGAAAGCGUGGGGAGCAAACAGGAUUAGAUACCCUGGUAGUCCACGCCCUAAACGAUGUCAGCAACUGUUGAGGCCUUCGGGCCUUGGUAGCGCAACUAACGCGUGAAGUUGACCGCCUGGGAAAUUACAGUCACCAAGAUUAAAACUCAAAGGAAUUGACGGGGACCCGCACAAGCGGUGGAUGAUGUGGAUUAAUUCGAUGCAACGCGAAAAACCUUACCUACCCUUGACAUGUCUGGAAUCCCGAAGGGAUUUGGGAUGCUCGCAAGAGAACCGGAACACAGGUGCUGCAUGGCUGUCGUCAGCUCGUGUCGUGAGAUGUUGGGUUAAGUCCCGCAGCAGGCGCAGCCCUUGUCAUUAGUUGCUACGAAGAGGCACUCUAAGCCGGACUGCCGGUGACAAACCGGAGGAAGAUGGGGAUGACGUCAAGUCCUCAUGGCCCUUAUGGUGGGGCUUCACGUCAUACAAUGGUCGGGACAGAGGGUCGCCAACCCGCGAGAGAGGCCAAUCCCAGAAACCCGAUCGUAGUCGGAUCGCAGUCUGCAACUCGACUGCGUGAAGUCGGAAUCGCUAGUAAUCGCGGAUCAGCAUGUCGCGGUGAAUACGUUCCCGGGUCUUGUACACACCGCCCGUCACCAUGGGAAGUGGGUUUUACCAGAAGUGAUUGGCCUAACUUCGUAAGGAGGGCGGUGUGCAGUAGGAUUCAUGACUGGGGUGAAGUCGUAACAAGGUAG